rnacentral:misc_RNA from 1 species
UCCCCCGUGAGGGGGCAGUCUCGCCUGACAUAUAUAACAGACAACGAGGGUUGCGUUCGUUACCCCACUGAAGGGAACAGCUCAAGCCACGAACUGACGACAACCAUGCAUCACCUGUCCAACACCCUCGAAGGCUCUCUCCCUUUCGGGUGAGAUGCAGUUGGAUUUCUAGCCUGGGUAAGGUUCUUCGCUUAUCGACGAAUUAAGCCACAUGAUCCACCGCUUGUGCGAGUCCCCGUCUAUUCCUUUGAGUUUUAAGCUUGCGCUCGUACUACCCAGGCGGCUCGCUUACCGCGUUAGCUUAGUCCCGCAGAGGGUCGAUACUCCGCAGAACGAGCGAGCAGCGUUUAGGGCCAGGACUAC